rnacentral:tRNA from 1 species
GCUUCGUUGGCGCAGCCGGCAGCGCGUCAGUCUCAUAAUCUGAAGGUCAUGAGUUCGAGCCUCACACGGAGCA